AUGAUGUUAAGGUUUUGAUGAAAGCGCACGUGGGCGGGUCGGGGCGGGUCUGGUUUUGUGUGGUUCUUUGCAUUUUUCCUUGUCACGCACCGCGUAGGACUCAGCAGGGGCUAGGCCGUGAACGCGGCUCUCUGCUCUUACUGUGGCGCCUGAAAGACCUGGGAGGUUCUCCCGGGCGGUCUUUGUGGCCUCCCUGUUCCCCACGAGGAGGGCUGUGGCUGCGAUCCCUCCUCCUCUCUAAGGGUCGUCUGCGCGCGCUGCCAACCGGGGUCAGCAGGGGGCGCGGCCGAGCCCAAGCCCAGAAGGGUUUGAACUCAGGACCUUCCUCUUGCAAGGCAGGCGACAGAACCACUGAGCUAAAUCCCCGGCCCCAA
rnacentral:lncRNA from 1 species